AAAAGGACGGCGUAAAGCUGUCGCUAAAAGGAUGGACCUGCGAUGCAUUAGCUAGUUGGUAAGGUAACGGGCUUACCAAGGCGAUGAUGCAUAGCCCGAGUUGAGAGACUGAUCGGCCACAUUGGGGACUGAGACACGGGCCCAAACUCCUACGGGAGGCAGCAGUGGGGAAUCUUCCACAAUGGACGGAAGUCUGAUGGAGCAAACGCCGCGUGAGUGAAGAAGGUUUUCGGAUCGUAAAGCUCUGUUGUUGGUGAAGAAGGAUAGAGGUAGUAACUGGCCCUUUAUUUGACGGUAAUCAACCAGAAAGUCACGGGCUAACUACGUGCCAGCAGCCGCGGUAAAU
rnacentral:rRNA from 1 species